rfam:Asian citrus Psyllid, Diaphorina citri - Florida Strain, whole genome shotgun sequence.
GGGGGUGUAGCUCAGAUGGUAGAGCGCUCGCUUAGCAUGCGAGAGGUACGGGGAUCGAUGCCCCGCACCUCCA